UUGAAAAAUUUUUAAUUUAAAAGAAAAAUUUAUUAUUUGUACCUUGUGUAUCAGGGUUUAUUAAAUAAUAAAUAAUUAUUUAUUUAUCUCGAUUUUAUAAGAGUUAAUAAAUUAUUUAAGUUAAUGUGUCAAAAUUAUUUUUUAUAAUUUGUUAGAAAUGAUAUGUUAUUCGUUUAUAAAGGUAUCUAGUUUUUUUAGAAAUAAAUUUAAUUUAGUAAUUUUUUAUUUUAUUUAUUAUUUUAUUAAUAAAUAAAAUUAUUAAUUUAAAUAUUUUAAGGGAUAAGCUUUAAAAUAGAUUAUUAUAAAUCUUAAUUAAAAUUUAGAAAUUAUAUUCAUAGAAUUAGAAAUUGUUAAAAAUUUUGUUAUAAAUUAUUUUAUAAAUUGUGUUAAUUUAUUAAUAUUUUAAUUUUUUAUAAAAAUUUUUUAUUUAAUUUUAUUUUAAAAGUAAUAAUGAUAAAAUUAGUAUAUUAUUAUUGUAUGUAAACAUAAUAUUUAUAUGUAAAGUUUAUAUAAAGAAUUCGGCAAAUAAUUUACUCGCCUGUUUAACAAAAACAUGUCUUUUUGAGUUAUUUUUAAAGUUUAACCUGCCCAAUGAAUUUUAAAUGGCCGCAGUAUUUUGACUGUGCAAAGGUAGCAUAAUCAUUAGUCUUUUAAUUGAAGGCUUGUAUGAAUGGUUGGACGAAGUAUAAUCUGUUUCAUAUAAAUUUUUUAUAGAAUUUUAUAUUUUAGUAAAAAAGCUAAAAUUUUAUUAAAAGACGAGAAGACCCUAUAAAUCUUUAUAAUUAUAUUUAUUUUUAUUUUAUAGAUGAUUUAUUUUUUAAUAAAAUUAAUUAUUUGGUUGGGGUGAUAUUAAAAUUUAAAUAACUUUUAAUUUAAGAGAUCAUUAAUUUAUGAUUUAUUGAUCCAUUAAUAAUGAUUAUAAGAAUAAGUUACUUUAGGGAUAACAGCGUAAUUUUUUUGGAGAGUUCUUAUUGAUAAAAAAGUUUGCGACCUCGAUGUUGGAUUAAGAAAUAGUUUUAGGUGUA
rnacentral:rRNA from 1 species